UUGGGGUGCAAAAACGUAAAGGAAGAGAUGGGGACAUGUGAGCGUCUCAGGAUGAACUGCAGAGUCUCGGUGUGAGGUUAUGUGUGAGUAAAGUGUGAUCAAGGGAGUCUAACAAGGGCUUUGUUAUGAAGGUUGAAUUUAGGUUGAAUUUAAUUAGGAUGAUCAAGUGUAUUGAAUUGGAACAUGGCGGAGAGCUUAUGAAUAUGUAACGUAAAUGGUGAGGAUAAGAGAAAGUUGCUGGGUGGGACCGUGUAUAAAAGUUGAAUAGAUGAGUUUUUUUUUUAAAAAAAAAAAAGGGUUUUGGCCGCGGUUGUAGCACGAACUGUGGCCUAUUCUCCAGCCUUUUACCGCGGUUCGAACUGCGGCCUAUUGUUUUAGGAAUUUUUUUUUAAAAUAAAAAGAGGGGGUUUUCACCGCGGUUCUAGGGGAACCACAGUCAUAUCCCCAGCUUUUUACCAUGGUUGGCACCGUGGCCUAAAGUCCCAGACAUUUUACCGCGGCUGUAUAUGUCACGGUUCAUGAACCGCAACGUAUAUGCAAAAACAACCGCGGUCAUUUCCC
rnacentral:lncRNA from 1 species